rnacentral:rRNA from 1 species
UUAAGCGACUAAGCGUACACGGUGGAUGCCCUGGCAGUCAGAGGCGAUGAAGGACGUGCUAAUCUGCGAUAAGCGUCGGUAAGGUGAUAUGAACCGUUAUAACCGGCGAUUUCCGAAUGGGGAAACCCAGUGUGAUUCGUCACACUAUCAUUAACUGAAUCCAUAGGUUAAUGAGGCGAACCGGGGGAACUGAAACAUCUAAGUACCCCGAGGAAAAGAAAUCAACCGAGAUUCCCCCAGUAGCGGCGAGCGAACGGGGAGGAGCCCAGAGCCUGAAUCAGUGUGUGUGUUAGUGGAAGCGUCUGGAAAGGCGCGCGAUACAGGGUGACAGCCCCGUACACAAAAAUGCACAUGCUGUGAGCUCGAUGAGUAGGGCGGGACACGUGGUAUCCUGUCUGAAUAUGGGGGGACCAUCCUCCAAGGCUAAAUACUCCUGACUGACCGAUAGUGAACCAGUACCGUGAGGGAAAGGCGAAAAGAACCCCGGCGAGGGGAGUGAAAAAGAACCUGAAACCGUGUACGUACAAGCAGUGGGAGCCUCUUAAUGGGGUGACUGCGUACCUUUUGUAUAAUGGGUCAGCGACUUAUAUUCUGUAGCAAGGUUAACCGAAUAGGGGAGCCGAAGGGAAACCGAGUCUUAACUGGGCGUUAAGUUGCAGGGUAUAGACCCGAAACCCGGUGAUCUAGCCAUGGGCAGGUUGAAGGUUGGGUAACACUAACUGGAGGACCGAACCGACUAAUGUUGAAAAAUUAGCGGAUGACUUGUGGCUGGGGGUGAAAGGCCAAUCAAACCGGGAGAUAGCUGGUUCUCCCCGAAAGCUAUUUAGGUAGCGCCUCGUGAAUUCAUCUCCGGGGGUAGAGCACUGUUUCGGCAAGGGGGUCAUCCCGACUUACCAACCCGAUGCAAACUGCGAAUACCGGAGAAUGUUAUCACGGGAGACACACGGCGGGUGCUAACGUCCGUCGUGAAGAGGGAAACAACCCAGACCGCCAGCUAAGGUCCCAAAGUCAUGGUUAAGUGGGAAACGAUGUGGGAAGGCCCAGACAGCCAGGAUGUUGGCUUAGAAGCAGCCAUCAUUUAAAGAAAGCGUAAUAGCUCACUGGUCGAGUCGGCCUGCGCGGAAGAUGUAACGGGGCUAAACCAUGCACCGAAGCUGCGGCAGCGACACUAUGUGUUGUUGGGUAGGGGAGCGUUCUGUAAGCCUGUGAAGGUGGCCUGUGAGGGUUGCUGGAGGUAUCAGAAGUGCGAAUGCUGACAUAAGUAACGAUAAAGCGGGUGAAAAGCCCGCUCGCCGGAAGACCAAGGGUUCCUGUCCAACGUUAAUCGGGGCAGGGUGAGUCGACCCCUAAGGCGAGGCCGAAAGGCGUAGUCGAUGGGAAACAGGUUAAUAUUCCUGUACUUGGUGUUACUGCGAAGGGGGGACGGAGAAGGCUAUGUUGGCCGGGCGACGGUUGUCCCGGUUUAAGCGUGUAGGCUGGUUUUCCAGGCAAAUCCGGAAAACCAAGGCUGAGGCGUGAUGACGAGGCACUACGGUGCUGAAGUGACAAAUGCCCUGCUUCCAGGAAAAGCCUCUAAGCAUCAGGUAACAUCAAAUCGUACCCCAAACCGACACAGGUGGUCAGGUAGAGAAUACCAAGGCGCUUGAGAGAACUCGGGUGAAGGAACUAGGCAAAAUGGUGCCGUAACUUCGGGAGAAGGCACGCUGAUAUGUAGGUGAAGCGACUUGCUCGUGGAGCUGAAAUCAGUCGAAGAUACCAGCUGGCUGCAACUGUUUAUUAAAAACACAGCACUGUGCAAACACGAAAGUGGACGUAUACGGUGUGACGCCUGCCCGGUGCCGGAAGGUUAAUUGAUGGGGUUAGCGGUAACGCGAAGCUCUUGAUCGAAGCCCCGGUAAACGGCGGCCGUAACUAUAACGGUCCUAAGGUAGCGAAAUUCCUUGUCGGGUAAGUUCCGACCUGCACGAAUGGCGUAAUGAUGGCCAGGCUGUCUCCACCCGAGACUCAGUGAAAUUGAACUCGCUGUGAAGAUGCAGUGUACCCGCGGCAAGACGGAAAGACCCCGUGAACCUUUACUAUAGCUUGACACUGAACAUUGAGCCUUGAUGUGUAGGAUAGGUGGGAGGCUUUGAAGUGUGGACGCCAGUCUGCAUGGAGCCGACCUUGAAAUACCACCCUUUAAUGUUUGAUGUUCUAACGUUGGCCCCUAAUCGGGGUUGCGGACAGUGUCUGGUGGGUAGUUUGACUGGGGCGGUCUCCUCCUAAAGAGUAACGGAGGAGCACGAAGGUUGGCUAAUCCUGGUCGGACAUCAGGAGGUUAGUGCAAUGGCAUAAGCCAGCUUGACUGCGAGCGUGACGGCGCGAGCAGGUGCGAAAGCAGGUCAUAGUGAUCCGGUGGUUCUGAAUGGAAGGGCCAUCGCUCAACGGAUAAAAGGUACUCCGGGGAUAACAGGCUGAUACCGCCCAAGAGUUCAUAUCGACGGCGGUGUUUGGCACCUCGAUGUCGGCUCAUCACAUCCUGGGGCUGAAGUAGGUCCCAAGGGUAUGGCUGUUCGCCAUUUAAAGUGGUACGCGAGCUGGGUUUAGAACGUCGUGAGACAGUUCGGUCCCUAUCUGCCGUGGGCGCUGGAGAACUGAGGGGGGCUGCUCCUAGUACGAGAGGACCGGAGUGGACGNAUCACUGGUGUUCGGGUUGUCAUGCCAAUGGCACUGCCCGGUAGCUAAAUGCGGAAGAGAUAAGUGCUGAAAGCAUCUAAGCACGAAACUUGCCCCGAGAUGAGUUCUCCCUGAGACUUAGAGUCUCCUGAAGGAACGUUGAAGACGACGACGUUGAUAGGCCGGGUGUGUAAGCGCAGCGAUGCGUUGAGCUAACCGGUACUAAUGAACCGUGAGGCUUAACCUU